rnacentral:rRNA from 1 species
GAUGAACGCUGGCGGCGUGCCUAAUACAUGCAAGUCGAGCGAACGGACGAGAAGCUUGCUUCUCUGAUGUUAGCGGCGGACGGGUGAGUAACACGUGGAUAACCUACCUAUAAUACUGGGAUAACUUCGGGAAACCGGAGCUAAUACCGGAUGAUAUUUUGAACCGCAUGGUUCAAAAGUGAAAGACGGUCUUGCUGUCACUUAUAGAUGGAUCCGCGCUGCAUUAGCUAGUUGGUAAGGUAACGGCUUACCAAGGCAACGAUGCAUAGCCGACCUGAGAGGGGGAUCGGCCACACUGGAACUGGGACACGGUCCAGACUCCUACGGGAGGCAGCAGUAGGGAAUCUUCCGCAAUGGGCGAAAGCCUGACGGAGCAACGCCGCGUGAGUGAUGAAGGUCUUCGGAUCGUAAAACUCUGUUAUUAGGGAAGAACAUAUGUGUAAGUAACUGUGCACAUCUUGACGGUACCUAAUCAGAAAGCCACGGCUAACUACGUG